rnacentral:rRNA from 1 species
CGCUGGCGGCGUGCUUAACACAUGCAAGUCGAGCGAUGAAGCUCCUUCGGGAGUGGAUUAGCGGCGGACGGGUGAGUAACACGUGGGCAACCUGCCUUGUAGAGAGGAAUAGCCAUUCGAAAGGAUGAUUAAUACCUCAUAAUAUUGUAGCUUCGCAUGAAGCAACAACCAAAGGAGCAAUCCACUACAAGAUGGGCCCGCGGCGCAUUAGCUAGUUGGUGGGGUAACGGCUCACCAAGGCGACGAUGCGUAGCCGACCUGAGAGGGUGAUCGGCCACAUUGGGACUGAGACACGGCCCAGACUCCUACGGGAGGCAGCAGUGGGGAAUAUUGCACAAUGGGGGAAACCCUGAUGCAAGCAACGCCGCGUGAGUGAUGACGGUCUUCGGAUUGUAAAGCUCUGUCUUCAGGGACGAUAAUGACGGUACCUGAGGAGGAAGCCACGGCUAACUACGUGCCAGCCGCUGC